CUCUGAUUGGCUGCACCCCCUGGUCCUGGAGCCAAUGAGGACGCAGAGUCCUUCUAGUGCAGGUGACAUCAUCCUGGGCAUAUUUUAUGUGGCAUUAGAAAUCCAAUAAUGAUCAUUUCAAGAGAUUCUGCAGAAGAAAUGUCCCAAACACAAUGCGGCUGCCUGAUGGUCUGAAAUCCGUGCAUUUCUGUGGUAGAGUGAGUAGGAAGUGGGGGUGCUUCUCCCUCUUUGGCCGCAAUUGUGUUUUGAGGAGUCCAAUCAUCAUCGAUUACUUAUUUAUGUGAUUAAUCUCCUUAGGAAAGAAGGCACUUGUCCCUAUUUUACACAGGAGGAAGCAGAGAGCCCAGGGGAUGACUCGACCCAGGCACACGGCUGAUGGAUUGAUGAACGGCAGAGCUGGCCUCAGACCACAGGCAACUCUGGGAGGAAGAAAUUAGGACGCAGAUACCCAGAGGGGAGACAUGAGGACAGAGGGAAAAGCCGGCCAUCCGCAUGCCAGGCAGAGAGGCCUCGGGAGAAGCCGCCCCUGCUGGCACCUCCACCUCGGACUUCUAGCCUCCAGAAUUGUGAGAACAUCAGUUUAUUUUGUUUACCCGCCCCCCCCCCGCCCCCACCAAAUCUGUAGAACUUUGUUACAGCAGCCCUCGGGAACAAAUACACCCCCAAUAUAUGAACGUGCAUUUGGAGUCGUGAGUGCAGCAGCCCCCUAGGAGCUGAUACCACUGAAAAUACGAGACACCCAAUUAAAUUUGAAUUUCAGAUAAACAAUGAAUAAUUUUUUCGCAUACACUGCAUGGGACAUACUUAUUAUACUAAAACAAUCCAUUGUUUAUCUGAAAUUCAAAUUUAACUGGGCGUCCUGGAUUUGCAUUUGCUAGAUCUGGCCACGUGGCCUGGCAUCUAAGGCUGUGACUCCCAUCCGACAGAGGUUCAAGGACAGAGACCAGCCUGGAAGCCGAGAAGGGGGUGAGAGCCUGAGGCUGCUUCCCAGGCCUGAGCUGCUCUCCCCAAACGGUUCCCAUCUCCCGCACAAACAUAUUUAUUGGGCCUGAUGGCAAACAGAUUAUGCUUGUCCCAGGAAGGGCAGCUCCAAAGAGAAAACCUUGAAGUCCGGGAAAUAAUGAUGAGGGAGUUAAAUUAAAGUGCAUAAAACCCUCCCGAGAGAUAACGUCAGGGUGAGUUACAGGCCCGAUAAGGGACUGGGGGCUUGCAGAGGGGGCUCAGAAAGGUCGCCCAGCGGCGCACAGAGGACCAGGAAUCAUAAAUAUGGGGCAAGACGCCCAGCCGGGGUCGCCGGGGUGAAAAUAUUGGGGUCAUUCCAAAAACAAUUAUCCUGCUUGGUUUGCUCUUCAGGUCUUGUAAAUCUUUCACCUUUUAUAAAAGAUUUCUGGAGAAGGAAGCACUCUGGAAGUCUUAACUGAUUUUUGUGGCUGCUUCUUGGUGGUUCUGCUGAAGGAAAACAAAAAGACAGAGGAAAAUGAAAUUACCCAGCAUUCUCAGAGGCACAGGGCUGGGCUGACUGGUUUUCUCUUAUUCUUUGGAGAAUUUGGGCUGCCUUGGGUUUUGAGUCCUCCCAUUUACAGUCUUGACACCAUUUAACAGUUCGUUUGUUCUGUUUUGAAGCCAGUUGCAGCAGGGCUUUCACUGCCCAGUGGGCCCUGUUCUAUGGGGCCAACUUGGCAGCCAUCUUGACUGGAGGCAGCCAUCUUGGCAGAAGCGGUGCCCGUUCUGACUGAAGUGCAGCCGUCUUAACUGAGGGGCGUUCCUGGUGGCUAACAGCUUAGGAAAACGAGGGCCCAAGAGGCAGGAACCAGCUUGGAGCCACACGGCUGCCACCUGUGGAGGGCAGAGCCCAGUGGUUAAGAGCAGGGCUACCGUGUCCGCCAGUCAUUCAUGGUGAGUCUGGGGCCAGUGAAGUGGCCCUUCCGGUUCCUGACCCCUGCAAUGGAGGUGGUGACGGGACCUGACGGAGGCUGCCUGUGCGGGUUUCGUUACUGCAUGUUUACAGACGGCAGCGCACAGCGGGCCCUUGGAAGAGGAGGGUGGCUCCCAGGGGCCAGCAAGGCCAGGGCUCCCGGGACCCACUACCCAGGCCUGCCAGGCAGCCCACACCUUGCAAGUCCUCCACCGAGUUCAGAGGCCCAGUCGUGAAUUAUCAUCAACACUGACUUUUCACAUCGUCUUGGGCAGGGGCCAC